rnacentral:hammerhead_ribozyme from 1 species
AUUCAACCGACGAGUCCCAAAGAGGACGAAAUACACAUUGUCUUGGAU